GCAAUGUUUGCUCCAGAUCAUUAGCCAUUCAAGUAAGAGUCUCUUGAGUCUUUUUCCCUGCUAAUGCCACAGCUCCCUUCGCUGGAAGUUCUUCCUUUGGUCUAUACUUAUUCUCAAAUGCAUUGUCAAUGUCUGAAUCCAAGUCAAAAACUUCUCAAAAUCCACAUCCAUUUGCCAGAGAAAUGCGAUAGCUCUGUUACAAAAGACAUGAAACAAAACCUCUUACAAUCGACCCUUUGGCAACGAUCAAAUAAAAAUGUCAAUUCUCCGUACCUACCUCCCUUAAGUAUUCAUGAAACCCCAAACUACUACUGUCACCUAAGUAGUAAAACCGGAACAAGUAAAAUCAAACAAAAAUUCAAAGAGCCAUGACACCAAAUCUGGCAAUUAGAAAGAUAAGUAAAGUUAGAGUGUGAUUUUUUAAUAGCAACAAUUCCUUUCUUACUCUUGAAUUAGUACAGAACCUCUGCACAAGAUCAGCUAACAACAGCAAAACAACGAAAAUAAUCACAAACCACAAAUGAAACCAACCCAACUUCUUAAUCCAAAAGAAAAUGACAGAACCCACGUCGUGUGACUCCAAAUUCAUGCUAUCCAAACCAUGUUAUGAAAUUGAAGGGAGAUAGCAAUUAACAAUAGCGAGGACGUCAUUAACAGAGCAUCGUAAUAAACAAAAACAGAAGAUGUAAAUGAAAGAAUCGAAACUCAGACCUUAAACCGGGAAUAGAGAUUAACGAUCUCAAAUAGAACCUCAACGGAAUCACUCGACGGUGCUUCGGACAGUACCGCAAGCAGCAAACUCAAAGUUGACGUCUCCAGUGAGAUCUCGAAACCAAAACAAAAGCAGAAACCUUAGCGACCUCCUCUUGAGCUUUCUCGAAUGAGAUCGGAGGCAGUGAAUUAGGAAAUCGGGGGUUAAGGUUAGGGUUAUUUAUGAGUUUUGAAGGGGUGGAGUGGUCGUUGCAUUUUGCUCUAGAUUCUAA
rnacentral:lncRNA from 1 species